GAACUAUCAAAGGAGCAGUGAGAACUUUGGGAGGAAAGAUCAUAUGGUCACUUGUUUGUUGGAAGGUACAAAGAAAUGUUUGAAAAAGACAGCUAACUACGAAAAGGUUAAGGAAGUUGCUCAGGGCAAAGAUGAGAUCUAGCUUUGUUUCAAGGGCGUUUAGUCGAGGCAAUCACAAAAUGUACUAACACUGAUCCUGCCUUGAGGGAAAAACAAUCCCUUUUGGGAGUAUAUUUUAUAACCCAGUCUGCCCCGAUAUCCGCAAGAAACCACAAAAAAGAGCUAUGGGCCCUCAAACUCCUAUGGAACAACUUUUGGAUUUGGCAUUUUUAUUUUUUAAUAACAGAGACAAAGCAGAGGAAGCAGAAAGAGCAAGAAGGACCUCCCACAAGGUGCAGCUCUUGGUUGCAGCCUUAAGCUCACCUCCCACAUGGGGUUGCCCUCCUGGCUGUUGGCCUGAACAAAGGAGGCUGAAAAGCUGGGCAUCUGAGUCACCAUGCCUUGGGCAUAAAUCAGUUUGCACACCGUAAGAAAACUGGCCAUUGGAAAAGGGAUUGCCCAGCGUUCCAAAGGAAGCCAUCAGCACCCAAGCCAAUGAUGAAUGAAAUAGCCAGGCAAGCACAAAAGUGAUGGGGCCUGUGAUCUUCCGCCACUGCUCCCACUGGACAACUAGCCAUAUCUCCAGAGGAGCCUCAGGUAACCCUUGACGUGCUAGGCUCAUAGGUGGAAGAGACCUGCAUUGCCUCCAGUGAGACUUUGGAUUUUGGACAUUUGAGUUAAUGCUGGAGUGAGUUAAGAUUUUGGGGAUUGUUGGGAAGGCAUGACUGUAUUCUGCAGUUUGAGAAGGACAUGAGAUUUGGAAAGGGCUGGGGUGGAAGGAUAUGGUUUGAAUCUGUGUCCCCAGCCAAUUUUUUUUUUUUUUUUUUUUGAGACAGAGUCUUGCUCUGUCGCCCAGGCUGGAGUGCAGUGGUGCCAUUUCACGCCAUUCUCCUGCCUCAGCCUCCCAAAUAGCUGGGACUACAGGUACCCCCCACCACGCUUGGCUAAUUUUUUGUAUUUUUAGUAGAGAUGGGGUUUCACCGUGUUAGCCAGGAUGGUCUCAAUCUCCUGACCUCGUGAUCCACCUGCCUCAGCCUCCCAAAGUGCUGGGAUUACAGGUGUGAGCCACCGCGUCCGGCCCCCACCCAAAUUUUAUGUUCAAUUGUAAUCCCCAUGUUGGAGAUGGGGCCUGGUGGGAGAUGAAUUAAAUCGUGGGGGCAGUUUCUCACGAAUGGUUUAACAUCAUCUCCCCAGCACUGUUCUCGUAAUAGUAACUGAAUGAUUAUUAGGAUAUAUAGUUGUUUAAAGGUGCGUAGCACCUCCCCCCCCUCUCUUUCUCUUGCUCUGGCCACAUAAGAUGUGCCUAUUUCCCCUUUGCCUUCUGCCAUGAUUGUAAUUUUCCUGAGGCCUUGCCCAAAGCAGAAACUGCCAUGCUUCCUGUAGAGCCUACAGAACCAUAAGCCAAUUAAACCUCUUUUCUUCAAAAAUUACCCAGUCUUAAGUAUUCAUUUACAGCAGUGGAAGAAUGGACUAAUCCAGAGAUGAAAAGUUUUAUUAUUCACAUAAUGAAGCAUUCUAUAGGAGUGCACAGCAGUUGGUCCAAAAAUGAAUUGAGAGAGCCAGGAAAGCUGACUAGCUUAGCUCAUAUGUUGGUACAUUGAUUAUGUUGGUUAUGAAUUAGGUCUGGGAUAAUGUUUCCUGAGCAUGGGUUUGGGUUUGUGUGGCUUGAACUUUCUAUCAACUACAAAGGAGGGAACACUGACUUUCCUAUCAGCUUGAUGGGGGCCAGAAGACAAAGGAGGUGUGGUGGGACUUGAAUGCUAUCAGGAAUCAAACAUUAAACAACAAUGACAUUCUUCUGGUUUUGUUUUGUUUUUAAUAUUCUAUUUUUUUUGAAGUAAGACCGCUUAACAUAAAAUGUAUCGUUUUAAUAGAUUUUUUUUUUAAAGACAGAGUCUUGCUCUGUUGCCCAGGCUGGAAUGCAGUGGUGCAAUCUUGGCCCACUGCAGCCUCCACCUCCCAGAUUCAAGUGAGUCUCCUUCCUCAGCCUCCUAAGUAACUGGGACUACAGGCAUGCACCACCAUACCCGGAUACGUUUUUUUUUUUUUUUUUUGGUAGAGUUGAGGCUUCACCACGUUGGCCAGGCUGGUCUCAAACCCCUGACCUCAAGUGAUCCACCCACCUCAGCCUCCAAAGUGCUGGGAUUACAUGCAUAAGCUACCAUGCCAGGCCUUUUAAUAUAUUUUUAAGUGUACAAUAUAAUAUUGAUAACUUUAGGUACAAUGUUGUGCAGCAGAUUUCUAAAACUUAAUUAUCUUGAAUGAUAUAAAACUUUAUACCUAUUGAUUAGCAACUCUCCAUUACCUUCUUUUCCAUGCAUCAACCAUUAUUCUGCUCUCUGGUUCUAUGAGUUUGAUUAUUUUAGAUACCUCAUAUAAGUGGAAUUAUGCAGUAUUUGCUCUUCUGUGACUGGCUUAUUUCACUUAGUAUAAUGACCUUAAGUUUUAUCCAUGUUGUUGCAUAUUGCAGGAUUUCCUUCUUUUUCUUCUUCUUACUAGUUGAAUGGAUAAAAAAUUUAUAUAUACAUAGAGAGAGAGAGAGUUAAAAUCAUGUAAUAUAUAUUACAUAUGAAAGUAUAUAAAUGUAUUAUAUAUUAUAUAUGUUAUAUGUACUAAUAAUAUAAAUAAAAUGUAUGUAAUAUAAUAUAUACUUCCUUUUAUAAAAAGUAUUAUAUAAUACAUAUUACAUAUAAUAGUAUAUUAUAUAUAUACUGUAUGUACUCCUAUAUUAUAUAUACUAAUACUAUAUUACAUGUAAUAAUAUAUUACAUAUAAUUAUUUAUAUUAUACAUAACAUAUAUUAUAUAUUAUAUAUAAAAUGUUAUUUAUAUGUGUAUGUUACAUAAUACAUAAUUUAUGUGUAUUAUGACAUAUAUAAUACAUAUAAUUAUUUAUAAUUUUAAAUAUAUAAUUAUUAUAAAUAUGUAAUUAUAAUUAAAGACAUAUAAUUAUUUAUAAUUUUAUUUAUCCCUUCAUCCAUUCAUGGAAAAUUAGGUUGCUUUUACAUCAGGCCCAUUGCAAAUGCUACAAUGAAUGUGGGUGUGUUAAUACCUCUUUAAUAUCCUAAUUUUAGCUUUUGUGGAUAAAUAUCCAGAAGCAGGAUUGCUGAAUUUAUAGUGAUCUAUUCUUAAGUUUUUGAGGAACUUCUGUACUGUUAUUCACAGUGGCAGCGUCAUUUUGCUUUCCUAAUAGUGUAUAAGGUUUUCAGUGUUCCCGCAUUCUUACCAGCUCUUGUUUCUUCUUUUGAGAAUAGCCAUUUGAACAGGUGUGAAGCGUUAUUUUACUGAGGUUUUUAUUUGCAUUUCUUCAUUACUAGUGAUGUUGAACACAUUUUUAUAUACCUGCUGAUCACUGUAUGUCUUCUUUUGUAAAGUAUUUAUUCAAGUCCUUUACUCAUUUUCAACUGGUUGCUAAAUUUUGUUUUUUUCUUUUUUUUUUUUUUUUUGCUAUUGAGCUCUGAGUUUCUUAUAUAUUUUAGAAAUUAAAUUAGCUCUUUAUCUGAUAUAUGGUUUACAAAUAUUUUCUCUAAUUCCAUGAGUUGCAUUUUUACUCUGUUGAUUGUUUUCUUUGCUGUGUUUGAUGUAGUAAACUUGCUGAUUUUUGCUUUUGUAGUCUAUGCUUUUGGUGUUACAUAUAUUAAAUGAUUGCCAAGACCAAUUUCAUGAGGGGUUUUCUCCUUAGUUUUUUAUGUGGUUUGGCUUUGUGUCCCCACCCAAAUCUCAUCUUGAAUCGUAAUCCCAUAAUCCUCAUACGUUGAGAGGGUCCCGGUGGGAGGUAAUUGAAUAAUGAGGGCAGUUCCCCCUCAUGUUGUUCUCAUGAUAGUGAGUUCUCACAAGAUCCAUGGUUUUAUAAGGGGCUUAUCCCUUCACUAGGCACUCAUUCU
rnacentral:lncRNA from 1 species